GUAGGCAAGCCACUGCUGGACGUGGAGACGAGGCUGAAGUCCGGCCAAAACCUGGCUCCCUGUAAAUGAAGCGGGGAGACGGUACCAGGGGGCCCAUCGAAGUAAAUCUCUCCGUUUUUAUGCUUAUGUGUUAAUGUGUGCCAGCUUAUGUGGAUUUUAAUUUAUACGGGCGACUCAAAAGAGGAGGUGCAGCUGGAACUCACACAACAGGCUUUUCUCCAGCAGGACACAAGCCCACAGUGGCUCCAUCUCCACUCUGGACUUCAGGGACAUCAUGGUCACCAUCCGGCCACACAUGCUCACGCCCUUCGUGGAGGAAUGCCUUGUGGCGGUUGCUGGUCAGCUCAGCUUCUCAAAAGGCAGAUGCUCAUUCAGGACGGUUUAAGUUAGGAAUGGUGUGAUACUGGUCAAAAUCACUAGGUUGAAUAUUUGUAAAUAUUACAUAAAUCAUGUAUCAUAAGGUUCAUUAACUGCAGGGUGUAAAGAGAUAUACAUGUGAGUGAUCAUGUGAGCUCUGUGGAGUUUGAGGCUUUAACACCUAAGCCUCAAAAUGUCAGUCUGGAUUUAUUUUAACCAUA